AAAAACUUAGGAUAUUUAAACCAAGGGCCUUCAAAGCCCUAAAAAAGGGCGCAAACCCNUWAG
rnacentral:tRNA from 1 species